UACAGAGGUGGCAAGCGUUGUUCGGAAUUACUGGGCGUAAAGGGCGCGUAGGCGGUCUUCUAAGUCUUGUGUGAAAUCCCUCGGCUCAACUGAGGAACUGCACGGGAUACUGGAAGACUUGAGUUCGGGAGAGGUGAGUGGAACUGCGAGUGUAGAGGUGAAAUUCGUAGAUAUUCGCAAGAACACCAGUGGCGAAGGCGGCUCACUGGCCCGAUACUGACGCUGAGGUGCGAAAGCGUGGGGAGCAAACAGG
rnacentral:rRNA from 1 species